UUUCGUAUAUAUUAUUUUAUGCAUUUUUUAUUUCAGCUUUACAAAUUAACGUUUAUCAUUACAAUAAUAAAAUCAUUCAUAUUAAAAAGUUGUGUUAUACGUGUUAUCCCUUAAAGUUAAAAAUAGCAAAUGGUCAAUUCUAUAUUUAAUUCUGGUUGUUGAUUGGCUGAGAGAAUUUUCGCGCGGUGCGCGGCAGGUAGUUUUCGAGUGAGGGCUAGUUUUUCGUCGAGCUCAGGAGAGGUGGACAUUAUAUGUCUGAGACUAUACGUCAAAUAAAUACGACUUCUGACAUGACCUCAUACUGAUCCUGACUUGAUUAACAGCAUUUGUCAUAAUUAUUUGAAGUGGACCCUGAUCCACAAUCAGGGUUGUUCAUUUUAAUACAGAAUAUAUAUAUAUGAAAAUCCGAACCAUCAGUAUUGUUAUUCUUGGUACAACGCCCAAUAGUAACGCUACUUCAUUGGCGCCCACGUUGGGACCCUGCAGUCAUAACUUCAACUCACCGUGGAACUGGCGUGCCACAACUGAAUGAAAUACCGUCGAUACCUGGCUGAUCGGAAGUAGUGAACCGAGACGAUUUAACAAGCAAGGACACCUGUGAUUCGAACAGCUGAACAUUGACCCACUUGAGGAUUUCUCGUGGAGGGGGCAUAUGUGACGUAGUGCUCAUUUCGAUGCAUCAGUGUGUUUGAUAAGUUUUCUGGCCAGUACAUGUAGUAGUAUAUAUAGAGUACGCGUACGGUAAGGUUGUCAAAUUUACCUGUGUGCACUAUUAUUUUUCCUUUUAUUGUUCACGUUUAAAAAAAAAAACAUUUGUGAAGAACUGUAUGAUUGUGAGCUCAAUUCUAUUUUUGUAAGGGAACAUUUUGUCAAAGUAGAUUGAAUUCAUAGUUAAAUCCGUGUGGGUGUGUGAAUUUGAAAGUGCAGACUAACAAUCCACUUUUCCCUUUAAUAUCUUCUCUUUGCACGUUUUAUACAAGACGAUGUUGACAUUAUGACAGUACAUGUUUGAACAGUUGAAGGUUACAUAAUACCGUGUGUCUGUCUGUCUCGUCCAUUGAGUAGUCUGUUGUUGUAGAAGUGUCAUUCAGUUCAGAAUUUCAUUUAAAUAUCUAUAGUUGUCUGAAUUGUUCCAUGUUGACCAGCGCAUAGCAGAACAUUGAGUCUUCUGAGUAAAGAGUUUAAUCAUACAGGGUUCGACCAGUCUGUCAGUCAUCUAAAUAAAUAUAUACAUGUAAAUCUCGGAUAACUAGCGAUUAUAUACGCGUUUUUUUUUUAGAAGCGGUGUAGAUGUGCGUGCUAACUUGAUCACAUUCGCAGGUAAUCUAAGUUGCAACUGUAGAUAGUAUUUGUAUUAUUCUAUUAAGGAUCUAUUGCUUAUGUGUAGUUGUUGAUAGCUUAUUUAGUAAUUAGUUAGAUUAAAAAAAAAAAAUGUUUACAGUUUGAAACCAGUGCUGUCUGAAAAUCCGUCACGCAUGAUUGACUUCACCUGAAAGUUUGCAGAGUUACCUGUCCUUGAUUUAGUACGAGUUACUCAUCUUGGAUUUUUUUCAGCUUUCUUACCAAAAUUUUUUUUUCAGCUUAUCAAGUUAAUUAAAUUUUUUUUGCAGCUUGAUAAUCAAACAUUUUAUUUGCAGCAAUAAGUUGUAGUUAGAAUAUUUAGAAUAAGGCGUGUUUGUUUGAGUUUAGAAUUUUUUUAGUUUAUUAAGUUAGACUUAGAUCUGUGUGUACUUAGAAGCAUAGUUGCAUGUAGAGAUGGCAACUGGCGAUCAAAGUGUACAUUUAAAUAGAGGUGAUCAGAAAGCAGAAUUGAACGAACAGCAAAUUAUGCGCAUGAUCGACUAUUUAACGGAACAUACCGAUUACAAGAUAUUGACUAAUGAUGAGUAUCAAAUACUGAAACCUGUUGCACACAGUACACCCUCAGCCGCAAGAGAGAGUGGCGGUGCAAGACCAAAAGAUCAAAUUCGUAACGUAAAAUUUGAAGAUCAGUCGCAAAUGCAGAAUCAGUUUACAGAAGGACAUACAAGUGUCUUAUAUGAUGCAACGAAUGUAAGGCCUCGAUUUACAAUUUUUUCUGGAGAAGAAAAAUCUGAGACGUCUUUUGAGGUGUGGAAAAACGACGUUAAAUGCGCAAUAAGAGAUGGCUCAGCGUCAACAAGUUUGAUAUUACAAGCCAUACGUUCGUCGCUUAAAGGAAAGGCUAGGAGUUCGCUGCUAACGUUACCAACUGAUGCAACUCCAGACCAAAUAUUACAAAAAUUGGAUGGAAUUUACGGAAAUAUUUAUCCCAGUGAAAAGUUAAUCCAACAGUUUUAUGAGGCAAAACAAAAAGAAGGAGAAACUGUCGCAGAUUAUGGAAUGAGACUUGAAAAUCUUAUACAGACGUGUAUUGACAGAGGAACAUUCAACUCUGAUUCCAGAAAUGAAAUGCUGAGAACAAAGCUAUGGUCAGGACUUAGUGACAUAGACUUAAGAAACGCAAGCCGUUACAAGUAUGACACCAUAGGAGAUUUUGAAGAGUUGCGAAGGGAACUACGUACUAUCGAGUUGGAUUUGAGAA